rnacentral:lncRNA from 1 species
UCUUGGUAAAAUUAUUUUAUUCUACAUUAUUCUAAUUGUAAACAUUAUAUAAAUUUCAAACUAAGAACUGAAAUAAUCUUCCUUGGUAAGAACUCCAAAAGAAAUCCACAGUCUUUCCUCAGCAUAUCAUUGUGGCCGUUGUCCAAAUGAGUGGCUAAUAUUUUCCAACAAUUGUUAUUACUUUGGUGUGGAAAAGAAAACUUGGAAGGAGAGUUUGGUGUCCUGCACAUCUAAGAACUCUAGCCUGCUUUAUAUAGA